GGCCUCCCAAUUCUUACCACAGGCUGUGUUUUUUACACUGACUGUACAGAAACAGGAGGUACAGAAAACGCACCCCAUAUACACUUCAACAAAGGUCCUUUGUCUGCUCUGUAUUGUGAAUUGGGGGACAAAA